CUUUAUAAUGAUGUCAACAAAAGUUAGUGAAAUUAUUUGGAUCCAGAUCUGAUUCUGGAUUUGGUGCGACUUUGAAAAAUUCCCCCAUUAUAAGAGAUAGGAAGUGGAUCGAUGCAAUAACUCAAUACAUAUAAAUGAUAUCCGGUGUAAAUUUCUACAGUCA